UCUGUUCCAAAACAUCGUAUGUAUUUACCCUGAAAACCAACAUGUUCUGAUUAUAUGAUAGCAUUUUUUGCUUCACAAUCGCAUACUGUCUGAAAUUGUUUUCAAAGUCUUAUUGUUUUCAAAACAUAUAUACAGCAUCAUCAUCACUAAUGUACAGUAACUAGCUAGUGAAGAAUAUCUUUGGUUUAAGGGUGCAUAAAUUCACAUAUAUAUGAGAUCUGCUUGUGACACUCAUAAUCACCCCAUCGAAAAUCAAAGCUUGUCCACAUCACCAUGCAUAACUGAGUCGUUGGCCCAUCAGGUUGUCCAGGAUUAAUGUCAUUAAAUGACAUUGUUUCAUUUGGUUGACUUGCCCAUUCCAUGUCAUUAUCAUUGUAAAAAUUGUAACCAUUAAUCC
rnacentral:lncRNA from 1 species